AUUUUGGGCCAUACCACCCUGAAUGUGCCCAACUCACCUGAUCUUGGAAGCUAAGCAGGGUCAGGCCUGGUUACUACAUAGAUGGGAGAAAAUAAACUGUAGUUGAAUGUU
rnacentral:rRNA from 1 species